CAAGCAGGUCGCCUUAUCGCUCCGACCAUAUUCGGGGAGGAAAGUCCGGACACCACAGAGCAGCAUAGUGGGUAACACCCAUCGGUCGUGAGAUCAGGACCAGUGCAACAGAAAGAAUGUACAGGUAAGGCUGUAGUGAAAUCAGGUAAACUCUAUGCGGUGCAAUGCCAUGUAUACCGGUUUUUAAGGAUUGCUCGUCCGUUGCCGGAGGGUAGGCAGCUAAAGAGCAUCGGUAACGAUGCUUUCAGAUAAAUGAUAAGGAACCCGGUCUUAUUCACCGGGUGACAGAAUCCGGCUUACAGACCUGCUUUUUUA
rnacentral:RNase_P_RNA from 1 species